GGGCAUUCGUAAUUUCAUAGUCAGAGGGAAAUUCUUGGAUUUAUGAAAGACGAACAACUGCGAAAGCAUUUGCCAAGGAUGUUUUCAUUAAUCAAGAACGAAAGUUGGGGGCUCGAAGACGAUCAGAUACCGUCCUAGUCUCAACCAUAAACACUGCCGACCAGGGAUCGGCGGAUGUUGCUUAUAGGACUCCGCCGGCACCUUAUGAGAAAUCAAAGUCUUUGGGUUCCGGGGGGAGUAUGGUCGCAAGGCUGAAACUUAAAGGAAUUGACGGAAGGGCACCACCAGGC
rnacentral:ncRNA from 1 species